rnacentral:rRNA from 1 species
AGCGAACGCUGGCGGCAGGCCUAACACAUGCAAGUCGAACGAACUCUUCGGAGUUAGUGGCGGACGGGUGAGUAACACGUGGGAACGUGCCUUUAGGCUCGGAAUAACUCAGGGAAACUUGUGCUAAUACCGAAUGUGCCCUUCGGGGGAAAGAUUUAUCGCCUUUAGAGCGGCCCGCGUCUGAUUAGCUAGUUGGUGAGGUAAAGGCGCACCAAGGCGACGAUCAGUAGCUGGUCUGAGAGGAUGAUCAGCCACAUUGGGACUGAGACACGGCCCAAACUCCUACGGGAGGCAGCAGUGGGGAAUCUUGCGCAAUGGGCGAAAGCCUGACGCAGCCAUGCCGCGUGAAUGAUGAAGGUCUUAGGAUUGUAAAAUUCUUUCACCGGGGACGAUAAUGACGGUACCCGGAGAAGAAGCCCCGGCUAACUUCGUG